UACGUAGGGUGCGAGCGUUAAUCGGAAUUACUGGGCGUAAAGCGUGCGCAGGCGGUGAUGUAAGACCGAUGUGAAAUCCCCGGGCUUAACCUGGGAACUGCAUUGGUGACUGCAUCGCUCGAGUAUGGCAGAGGGGGGUAGAAUUCCACGUGUAGCAGUGAAAUGCGUAGAGAUGUGGAGGAAUACCGAUGGCGAAGGCAGCCCCUGGGUCAAUAC
rnacentral:rRNA from 1 species